UACGAAGGGGGCUAGCGUUGCUCGGAAUCACUGGGCGUAAAGCGCACGUAGGCGGAUUGUUAAGUCAGUUGUGAAAUCCUGGAGCUCAACUCCAGAACUGCCUUUGAUACUGGCGAUCUUGAGUCCGGGAGAGGUGAGUGGAACUGCGAGUGUAGAGGUGAAAUUCGUAGAUAUUCGCAAGAACGCCAGUGGCGAAGGCGGCUCACUGGCCCGGUACUGACGCUGAGGUGCGAAAGCGUGGGGAGCAAACAGG
rnacentral:rRNA from 1 species